rnacentral:rRNA from 1 species
UACGUAGGGGGCAAGCGUUGUUCGGAAUUACUGGGCGUAAAGGGCGCGUAGGCGGUCUUGCAAGUCCUGUGUGAAAUCCCUCGGCUCAACUGAGGAACUGCACAGGAAACUGCUUGGCUUGAGUUCGGGAGAGGGAAGCGGAAUUCCGGGUGUAGCGGUGAAAUGCGUAGAUAUCCGGAGGAACACCGGUGGUGUAGACGGCUUCUGGACCGUAACUGACGCUGAGACACGAAAGCGUGGGUAGCAAACAGG